rnacentral:sRNA from 1 species
UACACUUACAAUUGAGGGUAUGGUAGA